AAUAGUAGCAAUACUAUUUGGCGGCGAGCGGCGGACGGGUGAGGAACACGUAGGAAUUUACCCUCAAGCGGGGGACAACCAAGGGAAACUUUGGCUAAUACCGCAUACACUCGAAAGAGAAAAGGUGCUCGUAAGGGUGCCACUUGAGGAGGAGCCUGCGUCCGAUUAGCUAGUUGGUGAGGUAAGAGCUCACCAAGGCGAUGAUCGGUAACUGGUCUGAGAGGACGACCAGUCACACCGGGACUGAGACACGGCCCAGACUCCUACGGGAGGCAGCAGUGGGGAAUAUUGGACAAUGGGGGCAACCCUGAUCCAGCGAUGCCGCGUGAGUGAAGAAGGCCUUCGGGUCGUAAAGCUCUUUAGUUUGGGAAGAAGGUUGCGGGAGGAAAUGCCCGUAACUUGACGGUACCGAAAGAAUAAGCACCGGCAAACUCUGUGCCAGCAGCCGCGGUAAUACAGAGGGUGCGAGCGUUAAUCGGAGUUACUGGGCGUAAAGGGCGCGUAGGCGGUAAUAUGAGUGUGAUGUGAAAGCCCCGGGCUUAACCUGGGAAGUGCAUCGCAAACGAUAUGACUAGAGUAUAUGAGAGGGUGGCGGAAUUUCCGGUGUAGCGGUGAAAUGCGUAGAGAUCGGAAGGAACGUCAAUGGCGAAGGCAGCCACCUGGCAUAAUACUGACGCUGAGGCGCGAAAGCGUGGGGAGCGAACAGGAUUAGAUACCCUGGUAGUCCACGCUGUAAACGAUGAGAACUAAAUGUUGGUUGGGGAACCAAUCGGUAUUGAAGCUAACGCGAUAAGUUCU
rnacentral:rRNA from 1 species